GGUCCGAGUUGUAAUUUGUAGAGGAUGCUUUUGGUGAGGUGCCUUCCGAGUUCCCUGGAACGGGACGCCGGAGAGGGUGAGAGCCCCGUACGGUUGGACGCCAAACCUCUGUAUAGCUCCUUCGACGAGUCGAGUAGUUUGGGAAUGCUGCUCUAAAUGGGAGGUAAAUUUCUUCUAAAGCUAAAUACCGGCCAGAGACCGAUAGCGCACAAGUAGAGUGAUCGAAAGAUGAAAAGCACUUUGAAAAGAGGGUUAAAUAGCACGUGAAAUUGUUGAAAGGGAAGCGUUUGCGACCAGACCUUUUCCAGGCGGAUCAUCCGGCGUUCUCGCCGGUGCACUCCGCCUGGUUGAGGCCAGCAUCGGUUUCCUUAGGGGGAUAAAGGCCUGGGGAACGUAGCUCCUUCGGGAGUGUUAUAGCCCCUGGCGCAAUACCCCUCGGGGGACCGAGGACCGCGCUUCGGCAAGGAUGCUGGCGUAAUGGUCGUCAACGACCCGUCUUGAAACACGGACCAAGGAGUCGAACAUUUGUGCGAGUGUUUGGGUGUCAAACCCUCACGCGUAAUGAAAGUGAACGGAGGUGAGAGCCCUUACGGGUGCAUCAUCGACCGAUCCUGAUGUCUUCGGAUGGAUUUGAGUAAGAGCAUAACUGUUCGGACCCGAAAGAUGGUGAACUAUGCGUGGAUAGGGUGAAGCCAGAGGAAACUCUGGUGGAGGCUCGCAGCGGUUCUGACGUGCAAAUCGAUCGUCAAAUCUGCGCAUGGGGGCGAAAGACUUAUCGAACCAUCUAGUAGCUGGUUACCGCCGAAGUUUCCCUCAGGAUAGCAGUGUUGUCUUCAGUUUUAUGAGGUAAAGCGAAUGAUUAGGGACUCGGGGGCGCUAUAUUGCCUUCAUCCAUUCUCAAACUUUAAAUAUGUAAGAAGCCCUUGUUACUUAGUUGAACGUGGGCAUUCGAAUGUACCAACACUAGUGGGCCAUUUUUGGUAAGCAGAACUGGCGAUGCGGGAUGAACCGAACGCGGGGUUAAGGUGCCAGAGUGGACGCUCAUCAGACACCACAAAAGGUGUUAGUACAUCUUGACAGCAGGACGGUGGCCAUGGAAGUCGGAAUCCGCUAAGGACUGUGUAACAACUCACCUGCCGAAUGUACUAGCCCUGAAAAUGGAUGGCGCUCAAGCGUCUCACCCAUACCUCGCC
rnacentral:rRNA from 1 species